GAAAUGCGAUAAGUAAUGUGAAUUGCAGAAUUCAGUGAAUCAUCGAAUCUUUGAACGCACAUUGCGCCCCCUGGUAUUCCGGGGGGCAUGUCUGUUCGAGCGUCAUUUCACCACUCAAGCCUCGCUUGGUAUUGGGCAACGCGGUCCGCCGCGUGCCUCAAAUCGACCGGCUGGGUCUUCUGUCCCCUAAGCGUUGUGGAAACUAUUCGCUAAAGGGUGUUCGGGAGGCUACGCCGUAAAACAACCCCAUUUCUAAGGUUGACCUCGGAUCAGGUAGGGAUACCCGCUGAACUUAAGC
rnacentral:misc_RNA from 1 species